GACGAACGCUGGCGGCGUGCUUAACACAUGCAAGUCGAACGGAAAGGCCCUGCUUUUGUGGGGUGCUCGAGUGGCGAACGGGUGAGUAACACGUGAGUAACCUGCCCUUGACUUUGGGAUAACUUCAGGAAACUGGGGCUAAUACCGGAUAGGAGCUCCUGCUGCAUGGUGGGGGUUGGAAAGUUUCGGCGGUUGGGGAUGGACUCGCGGCUUAUCAGCUUGUUGGUGGGGUAGUGGCUUACCAAGGCUUUGACGGGUGGCAGGCCUGAGAGGGUGACCGGCCACAUUGGGACUGAGAUACGGCCCAGACUCCUACGGGAGGCAGCAGUGGGGAAUAUUGCACAAUGGGCGGAAGCCUGAUGCAGCAACGCCGCGUGCGGGAUGACGGCCUUCGGGUUGUAAACCGCUUUCGCCUGUGACGAAGCGUGAGUGACGGUAAUGGGUAAAGAAGCACCGGCUAACUACGUG
rnacentral:rRNA from 1 species